rnacentral:rRNA from 1 species
AACGAACGCUGGCGGCAGGCCUAAAACAUGCAAGUCGAGCGGGCAUAGCAAUAUGUCAGCGGCGGACGGGUGAAUAACACGUGGGAACAUGCCCUUUGGUACGGAACAACUCAGGGAAACUUGAGCUAAUACCGUAUGUGCCGGUAACGGGAAAGAUUUAUCGCCAAAGGAUUGGCCCGCGUCCGAUUAGCUAGUUGGUGAGGUAACGGCUCACCAAGGCGACGAUCGGUAGCUGGUUUGAGAGAACGAUCAGCCACACUGGGACUGAGACACGGCCCAGACUCCUACGGG